UCACCUGGGAAAGAAAACAAAAUCAUUAUGUUCCUGUAUAUUGAGAAAACCUGAACAGUCAGGGCAUUUUGUACUUCAACAAAAAACUUUGAUGCUUUAAUUGAUACCUGAUAGCAAGCACCACAUCCAACACCAUCACGAUAGAGGUUAGAAGCAGCUGACACAUCCCCACCAUUUAUUGUUGCUCCGAAUGAACCAAAUCCACAUGCACCUCCUAGAAUUCAUAUAAAAAACUAAUUUGGAUAGUAAGCUGCUCGAGAAUGAACAAAACAGUCAUUACAUGUUGCAGCCUCUGCCAGAUUCUGCAUAAAGAAUAAAAUUGCAAGGAGCAAAAAGGACCGAAGAGAGGAAGCCAUUAUAUGGUUUAAAGCAAAAAAGCAAUGAAAGAAAAGAUGUGUUGGUAAUGCAUGGAAUGGAUGAGGAAUUUAUCCAAAGGUACAUGACUGGACAUUUUGUUGACAGGCUGAAGCAGACACGAAAACAGUAUGCCAAUAUAGACUGGCAUAAAGAGUCUAUUUAACAACAUCAGGCAUGACAUGGAAACCAUUAUAGUGUCUUUCUGGAUCCCACUUGCGUCAGCAUCCUUAUUGAAAUGAAGGGAAUAAACUUGCAUUUUCAGAAUUUUGAAAAGGAUAAUAAUGCAGUGCCUUUUAUGAAUAUGCAGAAUUCUUCUGUAGAACCUACUCAUUCAGGGCUUGAAAAGACUGUGGCCGACCAACUAAUUUAGCUAUAGAUGUCAAAGAUAGAUGCUACUGGUACCAAACAUAUAUAGAUGCUACUUCAGGGAAGCAGAAUGAUGUAGAAAACUUGAAAUUGACAGAAAUCCAAAAAAAAUUUUCAGAACUAGGGAAAAUGGAUCAUUUUUUGAACUUCUAAAAUUCCAAAUUGUUAAGAAGGUAGAGAUCGAAGAUUUCCAAGUGAAGGGAAUAACUUCUGGAAAGGUUUGGACUCAAGGUUCUCAGCAGAGAUGUUGUGAAUAUGCUUAAAUGGCACGUAUAGCCAAAAUAGAACGUUGUUAGUAUUAAAGAAAAAGGUGUGCAACUGCAACUUGUUGGAAUAAGCCUACCCUGAUCUUUGAAAAUUGAACAGGUCUUUUUGGGUUCUUUUCUUUUUUUUGAACUUCUCAGUCCAUGAUGCUUCAACUCAUUUUAUUUUACAUCUCAAUCUGAAAAACAGCUACGUUUUAUUCCUUUCUCCACUAUGAUCCAACUUUAACCUUGAAUUUUGUGAAAGAUGAAACUUUACCCCCACCAGAGAUUCUUGUCUUUGAGAUAUAUAGAAAUGAACAAGUCCUACUUUAAACCAUGGUUUGCUCUUUCAUUAUCUUCAGGACCCUUUUCAUUUUGCUAGUCUUAUUCAUGUGUAAUGUGUAGAAAAUCAAUAUUUUCUGCUGUUCAAUUUGAAAGUUAAAGCAAGAUGGAAUUACCUCAGAUGUUUUCAGUUUGUUCAACUUACCAACAGCCCUUUUUUUAAUCUUUUGAACAGUAACUUUGACAGGCCAAGAUAAAGUAUUGAAACUAUGGAUACAAAUCUUCAUCGAUGGGAAACAAAAUACUAUCGAAAUCCAAGGCCAAGUACUCGAUCAACCUUUUGAACUUCUGCAAGUCCUUGUGUUUCCACCAUUCUGCUUGCAUCCUCUUUUUUGACUUCGUAGCCAAAGAUGGCAACAAAAUUAAUUGAUUUUUAGAAUUAUGCUUAGACCAAUCAGGUUAAGUAGGUGACAUCACUCAUCAGCUGAUUAUCUGUUUACAUUUUACUUGUUCUUAGGUUCAAUAUGUGGAACUAGAUACUAAUUUAUUCUAAAAUAGGUAGAUUCAGGUGGUUUUAAGUGUUGGCUAUUGAUAUCAUUUUUGUGAAGGGACUUUGUCAUUUCUUUAACUCUUUAUGCAUAAAUCCCAACAGUAACAAAGUUUUUUAUACAUGUUAAAUGUCUAAAACUUUAUAUCUAUAAACGCACUAACAGAUGUUCAACUUGAAAUAUAUCUCAAGGAACAAGUCGGCUAGCUCUUUUUCUUUACUCUAUUUUGGGAUGUUGACAUUUAGGCGGACUUUCUAUUUAAAAUAUAAAGGGAAAUAAAAAGAUCUGAAACUUCGGAAUUUUUUAGAAUACAGUGGGUUUUAGGGGUCGGCACUGAAAUGAUUACAUUCAUGAACUUCUCUUAUUAAACUCUAUCCCCAUCUUGAGAUGAAGAAAAGAAAUACAAUAAAAUAAAAUAUAUUUAACAGCUACACAAUAAGAUUUAUAUUUUCUAGGGACUUGUUUGGCGAGAAAAAUAGUCAGACUAAGAUCAUCUGAUUAUAUGUUCACUUGCACUCCUGUAUCAUAUGUUUCUCCGGCCUUCCAGUCUUGGGGAAUGUUAUUGACAGGAACAACCCAUUCCUCAUCAUCUCCAUCUUCACUACUGAAUAACAUCCUCAGCGACAAAGGUCCGCUUGGGGGUGAUGUAGUUGUCCAUACGGCUCCAUAACUCCUAUCCAAAAGCUUGCAGACAAAAUUUUGAGCCUGCAAAUUAGUUUUGUCAAUAAACUUUAAUUAGUAUCACAGUUAUCAUAAUCAUGAUUUGAUAAGGCUUUUCCUUUUUUAAUAUUAAUGGGACCUAGAUGCUACUUUUACUUGAUUUAAGUCUUCUUCACUUUAUAUAUUAGAAUUAACUAAUGCUUUUGGCUGAUACACUGUUCACAUGGUAGUUGAGAGAAAAAUGAAGUUGGCGAAAAGAGCAACCACAGUUGAAGAUUAAGAAGAAUUUGGAUAAUGCGCUGCUCGAGAUUGAAUGAAACAGUCACUACAUGUUGCAGCCUCUGCCAAAGUCUGCAUAUAAAGCAGACUAAUAAAAGGAAGCAGAACAGACCGAAGAGAGGGAGCCAUUAUACAAUACAAU